UAGUUGCAAGGUAUAGACCCGAAACCCGGUGAUCUAGCCAUGGGCAGGUUGAAGGUUGGGUAACACUAACUGGAGGACCGAACCGACUAAUGUUGAAAAAUUAGCGGAUGACUUGUGGCUGGGGGUGAAAGGCCAAUCAAACCGGGAGAUAGCUGGUUCUCCCCGAAAUCUAUUUAGGUAGAGCCUUGAGGUGACACCUUUGGGGGUAGAGCACUGUUUCGGCUAGGGGUCCAUCCCGGAUUACCAACCCGAUGCAAACUACGAAUACCAAAGAGUGAUACUCAGGAGACACACGGCGGGUGCUAACGUCCGUCGUGGAGAGGGAAACAACCCAGACCGCCAGCUAAGGUCCCCAAGUCUAUAUUAAGUGGGAAACGAAGUGGGAAGGCUUAGACAGCUAGGAUGUUGGCUUAGAAGCAGCCAUCAUUUAAAGAAAGCGUAAUAGCUCACUAGUCGAGUCGGCCUGCGCGGAAGAUGUAACGGGGCUGAAAUAUAGCACCGAAGCUGCGGCAUCAGGCGUAUCACUAAUACGCCUUACGAUUAACAAGCUAGAAUGGCGCGAAGCGUCAUGAAAGGUUGUUCAAGCAACCCGAACGUUGAGUCGGGCAUCUUAGAGUAAGGAUGAUUAGUGAUACGCCUGUUGGGUAGGGGAGCGUUGUGUAAGCGGAAGAAGGUUGAUCGAGAGGUGGGCUGGACGUAUCACAAGUGCGAAUGCUGACAUAAGUAACGAUAAAACGGGUGAAAAACCCGUUCGCCGGAAGACCAAGGGUUCCUGUCCAACGUUAAUCGGGGCAGGGUGAGUCGGCUCCUAAGGCGAGGCUGAAAAGCGUAGUCGAUGGGAAACAGGUUAAUAUUCCUGUACUUGGUAAAGCUGCGAUGUGGGGACGGAGUAGGUUAGGUUAUCGCACUGUUGGAUAUGUGCGUUUAAGUUGGUAGGUGGGAAGUUUAGGCAAAUCCGGACUUCCUUAACACAGAGAGAUGAUGACGAGGCUCUACGGAGCUGAAGUAACUGAUACCACACUUCCAGGAAAAGCCACUAAGCGAAAGGCUUUACUAAACCGUACUGAAAACCGACACAGGUGGUCAGGUAGAGAAUACUCAGGCGCUUGAGAGAACUCGGGUGAAGGAACUAGGCAAAAUAGCACCGUAACUUCGGGAGAAGGUGCGCCGGCGUAGAUUGUAAGGGCUAGCCCCUGAAGGUUGAACCGGUCGAAGAUACCAGCUGGCUGCAACUGUUUAUUAAAAACACAGCACUCUGCAAACACGAAAGUGGAGGUAUAGGGUGUGAUGCCUGCCCGGUGCUGGAAGGUUAAUUGAUGGUGUCAUCGAAAGAGAAGCACCUGAUCGAAGCCCCAGUAAACGGCGGCCGUAACUAUAACGGUCCUAAGGUAGCGAAAUUCCUUGUCGGGUAAGUUCCGACCUGCACGAAUGGCAUAAUGAUGGCCAGGCUGUCUCCACCCGAGACUCAGUGAAAUUGAAAUCGCCGUGAAGAUGCGGUGUACCCGCGGCUAGACGGAAAGACCCCGUGAACCUUUACUAUAGCUUGACACUGAACAUUGAAUUUUGAUGUGUAGGAUAGGUGGGAGACUUAGAAGUAGGAACGCCAGUUUCUAUGGAGUCAUCCUUGAAAUACCACCCUUUAACGUUUGAUGUUCUAACGAAGAUGACGAAACGUGGUCUCGGACAGUGUCUGGUGGGUAGUUUGACUGGGGCGGUCUCCUCCCAAAGCGUAACGGAGGAGCACGAAGGUUUGCUAAUCACGGUCGGACAUCGUGAGGUUAGUGCAAUGGUAUAAGCAAGCUUAACUGCGAGACAGACAAGUCGAGCAGGUACGAAAGUAGGUCAUAGUGAUCCGGUGGUUCUGAAUGGAAGGGCCAUCGCUCAACGGAUAAAAGGUACUCCGGGGAUAACAGGCUGAUACCGCCCAAGAGUUCAUAUCGACGGCGGUGUUUGGCACCUCGAUGUCGGCUCAUCACAUCCUGGGGCUGAAGUAGGUCCCAAGGGUAUGGCUGUUCGCCAUUUAAAGUGGUACGCGAGCUGGGUUUAGAACGUCGUGAGACAGUUCGGUCCCUAUCUGCCGUGGGCG
rnacentral:rRNA from 1 species